rnacentral:ncRNA from 3 species
UUCUUAUCAAGAGUGGCGGAGGGACUGGCCCGACGAAGCCCGGCAACCGGUAUAAAUUUUUAUAUACGGUGCUAAUUCCAGCAGAGUGUUGGCUCUGGUAGAUGAGGU